CCAACGUGGGCAUCCAUUUGAGGUUGCUCUCUUAUGGCUCUGUCCGUGUGGCAUAUAGGAGCAUCGCACUAAGUGCAGUGAUGUGUAUUCCUGUUCCACAACGUUGGAGAGCAAGUUUGGUCUCCAGCCUUGGUUAGUGAGGGUAGCAUCCUGUAUAUUCCUAUAACUCUUCAGAGUCCUUGGGCAGUUACUGAGGAGGCAAACCAUGCAGGAUACAAGA